GGCCUCCCAAAGCUUACCACAGGCUGUAUACUUUACACUGACUGUAUAGAAGAGGAGGUACAGUAAAUGCUCCCCAUAUGCACCUCUGCCCAGGCCCUUUUGCCUGGUCUGUACUGUGAAUGGGGGACAAGA